rnacentral:misc_RNA from 1 species
GAUGAAGAACGUAGCGAAAUGCGAUAAGUAAUGUGAAUUGCAGAAUUCAGUGAAUCAUCGAAUCUUUGAACGCACAUUGCGCCCGCCAGUAUUCUGGCGGGCAUGCCUGUUCGAGCGUCAUUACAACCCUCAGGCCCCCGGGCCUGGCGUUGGGGAUCGGCGGAGCCCCCCGUGGGCACACGCCGUCCCCCAAAUGCAGUGGCGGUCCCGCCGCAGCUUCCAUCGCGUAGUAGCUAACACCUCGCGACUGGAGAGCGGCGCGGCCACGCCGUAAAACACCCAACUCUUCUGAAGUUGACCUCGAAUCAGGUAGGAAUACCCGCUGAACUUAAGCAUAUCAUAAGCGGAGG